GUAGCAGGUUCCAAGGGUUGGGCUGUUCGCCCAUUAAAGCGGUACGCGAGCUGGGUUCAGAACGUCGUGAGACAGUUCGGUCCCUAUCCGGCGCAGGCGGAGGAAAUUUGAUAGGAGCUGUCCUUAGUACGAGAGGACCGGGAUGGACGGACCGCUGGUGUAUCUGUUGUACUGCCAAGUGCAUAGCAGAGUAGCCAAGUCUGGAAGGGAUAAACGCUGAAGGCAUCUAAGCGUGAAGCCCCCCUAAAGAUAAGAUUUCCCAUACC
rnacentral:rRNA from 1 species